GCUGUUCUAUUCUUGGUAGUCAAUGUCUAUCUUCAUUGCUGAGAUCUUCUAUUUGUGACAUUGUUGUUGUACUUGGGAGUUGGUUGGAUUGGUGUAAUGUAUUGCAAACAAUUUUUUUUCCAGCAUAUAGAACCGGACCUUAUUUAAGUAUAAUGUUUGAGUUUAUAUUGUAUAAACACAUUCCAGGAGAGGUAACAGUAAGGUUGUUUUAUAUUGUGCUUAUAUCAUGUUAGACAUCAGCCAUAAAUCUGUAGUUCUUUCUUUGUUACUCAUGCAUGGGAUUGCAUGAUAUUGUGUUUUUUCUUUCAUGAUAUAUUGCAAGUGACUUUUUCCUUGAUAUCAUCGUCUUGCAUAGUUUCAUUAGCUCUUAUGGUUUUAGUUUUGAAUGACAUUUGCAGCUACCACGGUUAUACAAUAUCUACAAGAAGAUGGGGAUUGUUACCUCUUUCCAGAACAGUUUAGGAAAUGUUUUCAUUCCACUCUUCGAAGCCACGGUGGAUCCAAAUUCACAUCCUCAAUUACAUUUGUUCCUGAAGCAGGUCAGCUAAACAAUCUUAUAGAUCUGUAUUACAUUUUUGGUUGAGAGAAUCCUUUUAGAUCCUGUAGAUGCUUCUUAUUAUUAUGAAGAUGUGUUGGAUUUUUGAUGUCUCAACUUUUGCUAGUACAAAGUCCAUAAGUACUGAUGUGGUUUAUAAAAUUCUAUACCGUAUAGUCUAACAUUAACAUUCGUUUACAAACAGGUGGUGGGUUUUGACGUUGUAGACGAUGAAAGUAGACCAGAAAGGCGUCCAACGAAACACAUGCCAACACAUCUGAAUGGACUAAUGAAUUCAAUCCUGCAUAUUCUUAUUAUGCUCAUUCCUGCUACGGAAACUUGCACACUCUUAAUAAGGUUUUUCCUUUUAGAGAAUGCUCUUAUUUCCACCUUGUCAAAAUAUAUCUAGGUGAUAUAGAAAAUGAUUUUGUUCUUCUUUUCCCUAAACUCGGUUAUUACAUUUAGAUGAUUUUUAAGACAAUUUUCAUAUAUCCUAUGCAGGCAGGUGAUGUUGACCAUUUGGCUGCGGGAUUUCUUGUAUGCCAUAAUAUCUCACAUGGUAUCAAUCUUCGGUACUCUCCAGUUCUGCAAUACCUAUAUUACCUGGGGCAGGUUGAUCCCUUUUGACUUUAUUUUUAUCUUUUUGUAAGUUACCCCUUAAGUUUUCAUGUUCUUUAUAUGCUAUUGAACCUUUCCGACUUGUGCUUUAUUGUUGACAAAAUAAUUAUUAACCUCCUUUACAAUGCAGGUGGGACUGCUUAUGUCACCCUUGAGCAAUAAUUCUCUUUUCUUGGAUUACAAGAAAAACCCGUUCCCUGUGUUCUUUCAACGCGGGCUAAAUGUGUCGAUUUCAAGCGAUGAUCCUUUGCUAAUUCAUUUGACAAAAGAAGCGCUGGUGGAAGAAUAUAGCGUUGCAGCACAGGUUUGUCGGUUCACGAUUCUUGUAGCUUUAUAGGUGCUGCUCAUGGUUGGGUAUCUUAUCAAAUCAAGUAUGGUGCAGGUGUGGAAGCUCAGUGCUUAUGACCUCUGCGAGAUUGCUAUAAAUUCGGUAUAUCAUUCUGGAUUUUCACAUGCAGCAAAGGUGGGAAACUUGAGAAAGAAAAUUCUUUAGUUUUCUUCCUAAAAAAAUAUGCACCUAAAUGAUCCAUCCUAUAGAAUCAUCAUGGAAAUAAAAGUACGUCCAAUUUCAUAUAUGAUCUUGAAAUCUGUAUGAUCCAACUUUAUUGCAUAAUUCAACUCCUUUUCCUUUUUCGUGCAGACACAUUGGCUUGGUAGCAAGUAUUUCUUGAGAGGCCCUAAAGGAAAUGAUAUCCAAAAGACAAACGUUCCCAAUUUGAGGAUUGCCUUUCGAGAAACGGCAAGUGUUAAUGAUUUUUAAGCAGCUUUGGAAGAGGUUAACAGGGUGCCCCUCUUGUCCCGGUUUUCUAAUUGUGUGCUUGGUUUUGCAGACGUGGAAGGAGGAGAUGCAGUAUAUCUAUCACUGAGAAGCCGAGUUUCCAGAAGAAGUUGAUCCAUGAAGCAAAGGGAAAUAUGCUGCUGUAUCAUGUUCUUCUAAAUACAAGUAUAGAUUGGAAGCUUUGGCGGCAGUUACAUAGGUCUAAGCUGAAGGAGCAUAGGAAAUAUUGUGUGGAUCACCCCGUGGUGAUCGGCAAACUUGCUAAAGUAAAAGCUGAAGUUUUGGGAUCAAUUUGGUAUCAUGUGUGUUGACAUUUGAUGGUGUUCCACUACAUUAAAACACUAUUACAAAGUAAAAGCUGGAAGUUUUGGGAUUGAUGGUUUUUAGAAGUGGCUAUGAUACCACUCUUAGAAAUUGUUAUGUGCGGAAGCUUUUAAUGGUGAUGGGCUAGAACAAAGUGUUUAGGACUUUGGUAUAUAGGAGCUAGACUUGGGAGAAUGAUGUUAUUAGGACAAGGUUAUUAUGACAACUAGUUUAGGAGGAUAGAGGAGAAGGUGUAAACAGAGGAGGACUUAACUUGAAUUGCUUGCUUCUAUUUAUCACUUAUGAGUUCGUUACAUUGUUUGAUUACAUUGCAUACUUAUUUAUACAGGUCACUAACCGACCUUGCAUGGUAGCCACAGACCUUAUGGUCUUCUCUAGAACAUCCUAGACACUAGGUUACAUUUGUUUAAUUACAUGAUUAUUCCAGAAACUUUUGUCUAUCAUCUUAGUUUCUAGAUUAAUCUACCUAGCUCUAGGACUUAAUUACAUCUCAUGAUCCUUCUAGAUUAACUAGCAACACUAGGCUUCUCUUGAUUAAUCUAGAUUUCUCUAGAUUAUUUUUAUCAAUGUGCAUUAUGUUUUAACAGGGAUCAAUUUGGUGUCAUGUGUGUUGACAUGUUGACAUGUGAUGGUGUUCCACUACAAUGAAGCACUAUUACAAACCAGACUUUAAGAACUCAACACGAAGAAGCAAAUUCCAUAACACAAAGAAACAAAUCCGUUUCAGACAAAAAAAAAAAAAAACAAAGGGAACAAACUCCAUACAAAAACCAAAAAGAACCUGUAAGCAAACAACAAAAAGAACAAUCGUACAGGAGAAAUAUAUGAAAGGCAAUCCUAUAAUCGUCCGGUUAAUAUAUCGCCAAUGGGGAACUUGGAAUGGGAGUAGCCACCAAACACCACGGCAUGUAGAAGGCUUCGUAGAUUCGUUCGAUCAAAGAGGGAAAUCGUAUAUAUAAUUCAAUAAGAAUAUUACUUGCCUCCAUCUCCCGCUGUUACAAAAUAAAACAGAAACAUCAUAAAUUGGUAUCAAUUUAUUAAAUAAAUAACAAAAUUUCAAGCAACGAGUAAAGGAGCUUACCAGACGUACACCAUGCACCUUGUUAUAGUUCUGUGCCUCCAUAUGCCGGUGUCUAACGUAAUUGUGUGCGAAGAUCACAAUGGAUGCCGGAGAUAUAACCAUUUGACUGGUAUGUGGGUCGUACACUUCCCUGUAGAUUCCUUUACUAGAACCAAAUAGGCACACUUCGUUGAGAGCAAGGGCUCCGUGAGUCAAUUCUGCUGGCCAAUUCCAGUAGUGCUGUUCUAGAGAUGCUUCAAAUGUUGGAUGGUUCAACAGAUUAUACUGGGAUUGUGGGUCAUCGGUUGUGCAUAGUUGAUAUAUAUUCGCUAGAAAUCUUAGUUUGUUGUUGCUAUCCCAAGAGAUUGGAUAGUUAAAGACAAACUUUAGGUGGUCGCCAGUAUAAUCAUGAGGAAGGAAAGGUGGUGAAGUAUCUGCACAACUCAUGGACAGAAAAGACCACCAAUUCUCAACAUGCUUCUGUGAGUCCUUGUCCCGCAACUUAACUUUUUCAAGAAUUUCAUCACGCAAGACUUUGGCAUCACUUUGGUAUAUGAGUGGUCCUGUUUCACGCCCCAAAUUUAAAAAGAGAGGCUGAAAAUCAGUAGUCACUCCUAUACCUUGAAGCAAAUUACCAUGCGCCCGGUUAACUUCUACCAAAUAUGUCAUGUGUUGCCCAACUUUGCUCAAGAUGUUCCACAUGGCUUCAUCUGUAACUUGUCCCUUGGUAUGUUCAUCCAUCCACACCUUGAUGUGUCUGAUGACCUUUGGAAAAAUCGGCCAGUAUGUUCCUUCCUUUAUCUUCCUACAACGCUGUGGAUGUAUGAAUACUUUUUCAUCGUGCCUCGUUUGAGUGUCCCAAUGUCUUGUAGCUUCAGCAUCGCUGUUGCACACUUGUACAGUUGCAAUACUGUACCUCUCGAUAAAGUCUUGACAUUUGAUGUAUAUGAGAUAUUCGAAACUUUCAAGAGAUUGUCGAGGCCUAAGUUCACGGUAAAAAACUUCCCUCCUUCCCUCCUCUUCUAGCCUUGAUUCAAGCCUUGAUGAAGGAUUCGAAACCAUUAUACCUUUUGGAUUAUGAUCAAAACUCGUAAGCUGUUCUGUUUCGAUUUGGGUUUAAAUAAGAGAGGGACACCCACAAUAUCUCCUAUUUUAUGAAGGUAUUGUGUUCUCGAUUGCAUAUAGGAAUUCCUUGUGAAACGAGGAACUAGGCCAAGACCUUCCAAAAUUUAACAAAAUACUCAAAGAAAACAAAAAUACAUUGUCUUCUUUCUUUUCCCUAAUUUUGAAGUUGCAUCUUGGUCUACUUCUUCCUCUCUUCGAGUUGAUGAUUGAAAAAGUCAUCAACAUACGAAAAUAACAGAAUAUGAAGUACAACUUCAACAACGAGUUCUUUAACUAGGCUCAACUAACAGACCAGCUAGAAUUUAUUAUACUGUACUGCAGCUUUAUGAUUUGUUGUACUUCACAUCUUUCUUCUUUCUAUGCAUUCGUCCUCUUAGUGACAAAGCACUGUUUCACAGAUCACAAUUUGAUAUCAGCAUACCAAUGUAUCAAAUGCACCAAGCAUAGAAAAUUGUUUUCUUACCAAAGCUAACAGCUGAUUUACUUAGACAGGAGAGGGAAAAAGACUGAAAGAAAAUUGUUGUACUUCUUUUGUUUUUGAUAUAUCACAAGUAACAGUUGAUUUAAGUAUAUCCAUAUAGAGCCCCAGACAACAUCUAGAUGGUAAAAAGCAAACAAUGUCUACGACAGACGUCUCACAAUUAUCAUUACCAAUAAAUAUCAAAGCUGGUAACAGAGGGAUCGGUUUCACCUUUAUGGGCCGCUUUUGAUUAUCUUUCACAAAUUGAAGAACAAGCUUUGAUACAACUAUGCAGUUCUUUUUCCUUCAAACUACAACUAGCUUGGAUAUGAAAAUUUGAUACACCAACUGCACCAAAGAACUGUAAAUUGUUAAUACUGUUUCUAGUACAUACCCAAAACUUACAAAGCAAGCAUACUUGUUAUACCCAAAAACUGGACCCCCUCUGCUAUACUCUUUAAUGAAUGAAUGCCAACGUGAGCUAGGAGAUAAUAGGAAGUAUGUUUGAAAGGUCAGUAUGAAUACAAUUAAGGCUUAGCCUCUGCUCCUCUCUUCGAGUUGAUCAAAAAAGUCACCAACAUACGAAAUUAACAGAAUUUGAAGCACAACUUCAACAACGAGUUUCUUUAACUAGGUUCAACCAACAGACUGGCUAGGAUUUCUUACACCGCACUGCAGCCUUAUAAUUUGUUAUACCCUCCGCAUCAUUCCUCUUUUUAUGCAUUAUUCCUCCUAGUGACAGAGGACUAGUAAAGCAACCGACUUUGAAUGCAGCUUGGUAAAUGCAGGUACAGCAAAGACAAAAAUACAACGCACAUGAAGCUUGAUACUAUAUGACAAAUGCUAAUAACCAUAAACUGUUUCAAUAAGAAAGCAUGAAACAAAAAGAGCCAAAUUAUCACUCACAGGAGUGAUCCAGAGCUCCCGGAUUCCACAGACUGAACAAUCCUGGAAACAAUCCCAACCAAAUUUAUUGCUUAUGAGAGUCCUCCUAAAUUUAUCUAAAUGUAUCUUUUCAACUAGCAUAUCCCUCUAGUUUUCAACCCAAAAUUGAAUCAAAACUAGUUGUCAACUAGCAUAAAAGAUUGAUUACACACAUUAAACCUCUCCAAAAAUCCAUUGACACCUUCGUGUCAUGUCUCUUGGAGUAGGUUAUCAAACAAGAUUCUUCAAACUAGAAAGAGAAAGAUGGAUACUAUGAUUUUCAAAGUAGCGACCACAUCAAAAGCAACUGAAAAAGCUCGAGAUCCAGUAUGCAGAGAUGCAAAACAGAACAAAAUAGGGGGAUUUUGGAAAACUAAACAAAACAAAACGAAAUAUGAUCAAGGCAAAAUGCACUUCUUUCGAAUAGUACAUCACCAACGCACGUCUGAUGUGCAUAACUGCAAAUAGAUAAAUAUUAUUUUGGAAAAAGCCCUAAACAAUUUAGCAGUACAUGUUGUGCUUACAUCCCUACAGCAGAAUUGAAGAUCUGGAAGGUUUUCUCAUCAAGCGGACAGAAUCCUGGUGACAGCGAAUUGGCAGAGAAGCGGGGGAUAUCAUUAGUAGUAGUAUUACAUCUAUUGAUCAUGAACUUACACCAAAAAAGUUUACAAGUGUCAGUCAUGCCAACACCAUCCCACAGCAAAGCCAAGCGGUGGUCGUCGUCCUUUCUGAUCUGGAACAACCUUGGAGAGAAAGGUCGGACAUCCAACGCUUCUGCUUCUGGUGAUGGCCGAUAAGCAUGUGGAAGCUCGAUCCCGUCAUUCGAGAGACCCUGAACUGGUUCUGGUAGCCAUUGACGCUCUUCAAGAUCAAAAACAUAUAUUCCAGGAACUAGUUCAUCCCACGCCUCCACUUGAACCCUCCUCCCUAUUCUCCCUAUUAUCUUGGCUUCUUCUUCCGGUGUUUUUGGUUUGCGUUUUGGACUCCUGGUGCCAAAAGAAAACAAGUAGCGAUCCUCGUAGAGCACCGCGCCAGGAGACCAAUUACCCCACAAGUUGUCAUCAAGCACAUCCUCGUCCCACUUUUCUGACUCCAAAUCAUACGAGAGCAUGACAUGGGGACUGUAGGCUCCACCCUGUUGGGAGUAGACGUACAGUUUUUUCUUAGUAAGACCAAGAAGAUGUAGCCUAUGUAAAAAUCCAUUGCGCUUGGGGUUGGGACCUUGUGGCGGUACCGGCAACUUCUCCAAUACUCUGUCUACUCCGGGACGGAAUCGGUAGACUGUAGGUCCAACACAAUAAGCAUAACCAUCAUGGCCAACAGCUACUCCUCCCCGAAAUUGACCGUCUCCAAGUUUCCCACCUCCUAAGAGCCAUUCGUCUAUUCCCAUAUCCAAAUUCCUGAAGUCUAUGUAACGAUAUCCAAGAGAUUCAUCACGCAUAUGCUUGAGUGUAUACCCAUCUCCACCAAUCAGAUAAGCCCAUGAGUUUAAAACAGCAAGAUUGUUAGUAGACGAACCUGAAUCGGGAAGAGGGAGUCGUCUGACUCUAUCUGUUUCGGAUUUACAUCCAAUCACCUCAUCGCCGGAUGAUAGGGCUGAUUCCAUCGACUUCUCCUCAAUCACAUACCAAAAAGUCUUCUCGAAUCCACCUACCCUUACGUAGAUUGGUCUGUCCUUUCCGGCCAGUGCGAUUACGGCUCCUACAGUCAUGGUCCCUUUGUUUCUUUUCCGUCGAGACCUAACCUAAGCUUUUGUUUUCUUCUUUUCUGAGAGAUGGAAGCUUUUGUUUUCUCUGAGAGAUGGAGGCGUUAGGUAUUCAUCCUACUCUCCUUUUUAUAUAACUUAGGACAUAAGCCUGAGGCCCAAAACCAAAAAUAAAAGAAGUAGUAGAACCCUAAGUUCAUUUUCUCGUUUUUAUAUAAGAGUGCCUUUAUGGCUCCAUCUAACAUCUAAACCCUAGGUUGACGGAAAAGAAUCAAGCGGCGAUGACGACUAUAGGAAGCGAUGGAGACAGCGGCAAAGACAGGGCGAUCUACGUAAGGAUAACAGGCCGCGAACAGAAUCGCUGGUACGUGAUCGAGGAGAAAUCAUCGAUGAACUCAUUACUAUCAUUUGCCAAUGAGGUGAUUGGAUGUGAAUCCGAAAGAGAUGUAGUUAGACGACUCCCUCUUCCCGAUUCAGGUCUUUCCAGUAACAACCUUGCUGUUUUGAACUCCCGUAUGUAUCUGAUUGGUGGAGAUUCUUAUACAUAUAGGCAUUUUAGUGGAGAUUUGUAUACAUAUACGAAUUUGGAUGUUGAAUCUCUUGGAUAUCGUUAUAUGGAUCUGAAAUAUUUAGAUUCGAACUUGGAAAUAGAGGAAUGGCGGGCAGGAGGUGGGAAACUUGUAGACCAUCAAUUUGGGGGAGGAGUAGCUGUUGGCCCCGACGGUUAUGUAUAUUCGGUUGGACCUACAGUUUACCGAUUCCAUCCCGAUGUAGGUAAAUGUGAGAAGUUGCCUAUACCGCCACAAGGCGGCAACCCCAUGCCUGACAGAUUAUUACAUAGGGCACGUCUUCUUGGUAUCACUAAGAAAAAACUUUACGUCUAUACCGAAGAAGGUGGAGCCGAUUAUGCCAAUGUCAUGCUUUCUUUUGAUUUGGAGUCAGGCAAGUGGGACGAGGAUGAUGUGCUCGAUGACAACUUCUGGGGUGAUUGGUCUCCCGGCGUGGUGCUACACGACGACCGCUACUUGUUUUCUUUCGGAAUCAGGAAUCCCAAGCUCAAACCCUACUCAUCAGAGGAGGACGAAGAGGUUUCUGGAAUAUAUGUAUUUGAUCUUGAACAGCGUCGAUGGCUACCGGAACCAAUUGAGGGUCUCCCGAGUGAUGGAACCGUGAUUCCUCAAGCUUACAAGCCAUUACCGUGGGAUGUAAUGUAUGGCCGAAGAUUUUCUCCGCAGUUAUUCCAGAUCAGAGAGGACGACGAUCACCACUUGGCUUUGUUGUGGGAUUCUGUUGGCGUGUCUAUCUGUGAUCUUACUUGGUGUAAGUUCAUACUGGAUGUUUGUACUACUACUAGUGAAGAUAUCCCUCGCUUCUAUGCCCAUUCGCUGUCAAGAGGAUUUUGUCUGCUUGAUGAGAAAACCGGCGACUUGCUCAAUUGUGCUGUAGGGAUGUAAGCACCACAAUACCACAUCAUUUACUACUAAUUUGUUUGGGGCCUAGGCUAGGGUUUAUCAGAAACUAUGAUGAGGAUGAGUUAUUGCGAUCUGUCCGAUUCAGUUUGAUUGUUAAUUUCAUAUACUACAGAGUCUAAUUUGUUUGGGGCCUCAAAUUAGACUACAAAGAAAUGAAAAUUUUACCUCUAAAAACUGCUCGGACAAAAGAACCACAAAUUCUUCAAAUUGAAGCAAAUGAAAACAAAUUACAAUAAUCUUUUUUGAAAAUAUUAGUUUUGGAGAAUAAUCUUUUUAUUGGUUACAUUUAGAGAAGAAUCUUUCGAUAUCGAAAUAAUUGAUUUUUAGGAAAGAAAAUAAUCGAAAUAUCACGUCCUAGACGGAAAAAGAAAUUUAAUGAAAUAUAAGAUACGUGUANNNNNNNNNNNNNNNNNNNNAAAGAAACAAAGGGACCAUGACCGUAGGAGCCGUAAUCGCACUGGCCGGAAAGGACAUGCCAGUCUACGUAAGGGUAGGUGGAUUCGAGAAGACUUUUUGGUAUGUGAUUGAGGAGAAGUCGCCGAUGGAAUCAGCCCUAUCAUCCGGCGAUGAGGUGAUUGGAUGUGAAUCCGAAACAGAUAGAGUGAGACGACUCCCUCUUCCCGAUUCAGGUUCGUCUACUAACAACCUUGCAGUUGUAAAAUCCUGUGCCUAUCUGAUUGGUGGAGAUGGGUAUACACUCAAGCAUAUGCAAGAUGAAUCUGUUGGAUUUCGUCACAUAGACUUGAGGAAUUUGGAUAUGGGAGUAGACGAAUGGCUUUUAGGAGGUGGGAAACUUUUUGACGGUCAAUUUGGGGGAGGAGUAGCUCUUGGCCAUGAUGGUUAUGCUUAUUGUGUUGGACCUACAGUCUACCGAUUCCGUCCCGGAGUAGACAGAACAUUGGAGAAGUUGCCGGUACCGCCACAAGGUCCCAACCCCUGUCGCUAUGGAUUAUUACAUAGGCUACGUCUUCUUGGUCUUACUAAGGAAAAACUGUACGUCUACUUCAGGCAAGAUGACAAUGGUACCAAUGUCAUGCUCUCGUUUGAUUUGGAGUCAAGAAAGUGGGACGAGGAUGUGCUUGAUGACAACUUCUUGGGUACUUGGUCUCCUGGCGCGGUGCUCUUCCAGGAUCGCUACUUGUUUUCUUUUGGCACCAGGAGUCCAAAACGCAAACCAAAAACACCAGAAGAAGAAGAAGCCAUUACAAUAAGGAGGAGGAGGGUUCAGGAGAUUGAUGAGGGGUGGGGUUAUGUGGAGGAGGAUGAGCUGGUUCCUGGAAUAUAUGUUUUUGAUCUUCAUGAGGGUCGAUGGCUACCAGAACCAGUUGAGGGUCUACCGACUGACGGGAAGGUGAUGCCUCAUGCUUUUCGGCCAUUACCAGAAGCACCAUUGUAUUGCGGAGAUUGGAAUCCACGGUUGUUCCAGAUCAGAAAGGACGAGGACGACCACCGCUUGGCUUUGUUGUGGGAUGCUGUUGGCAAUAUUGACGACUGUAAACUUAUUUGGUGUAAGUUCAUGAUCAAUAGAUGUGAUACUAGUACUGAAGAUAACCCCCGCUUCUCUGCCAUUUCGCUGUCACCAGGAUUCUGUCCGCUUGAUGAGGACACCUUCCAGAUCUUCAAUUCUGCUGUAGGGAUGUAAGCGCAACAUGUACUACUAAUUUGUUUAGGGCUUUUUCCAAGAAUAAUAUUUAUCUAUUUCCAGUUAUGCACAUCUGAUGUGCGUUGGUGAUCUACUAUUUGAAAGAAGUGCAUUUUGCCUUGAUCAUAUUUAUCGUUUCGUUUUCCAAAAUCCCCCUAUUUUGCAUCUCUGCAUACUGGAUCUCGAUCUUGUUCAGUUGCUCUUGUUGUGAUCGCUACUUUUGAAAAUCAUGGUAUCCAUCUUUCUCUUUCAAGUUUGAAGAAUCUAGUUCGAUAAACUACACGGAGAGUUGAUACACAUGUGCAUCACUCUGCUUGCAUGAACCAGAAGCGUCUUCUGAACUUUAUCAAGUCAAAGCUUAAAAAGAACCUGAUGAGGUAGAAAACUAUGUUCCUUUCAGUUUGUUUCAGUGAGCUUGAUAUUGUUACAGAUUCAAUCUUUUCAUAUCUCUGUGACUGUUGAAGUUUCUAACUACUAACUAUGAGAAUCAACUUGGAUUGCCAGGUAGUCAUAUUCAGAGAUGGAAAAUAUCUUACACUUCAGGAAGUUUUUAAGAGUUUGGACUUGACAGGGUAAAUAUUGCUCUUCCUGAAACUGUUUAUCUAUGAAUAAUUAAAGCUCUCUCUCAUGCACAUUGCUUUUUCCUUAUUUUAGGUAUGAUCUGAAUGUUGACUUAUUGGAUGUUCAUGCGGAUAAGACUACUUUUCAUCGAUAUGACAAGUUCAAACUAAAGCAUAAUCCGUGUGGCCAGAGCAGACUCAGAGAGAUAUUCUUGAAGCAAGACAAUCUAAUCCAAGGUAUGAUCAUUUUGAAAGUUAAACUGUUAAGAUCAGGAUAUCAUACUUGUGCAUAUUCUUGUUGGGUCUUGGUUGAUUUACCUUUGAUAAUCAAUUAUUAUCUUAUAUAGAUUGAAGUGCAUAGCAUUUCAAUCUCUUCAGCUGGACUUGUCUUGUAAAGUUACUGUUUUAUUUAUGUGUACAAUUGCAGGACGAUUUUUAGCAGAAGUAACAAAGGAAGUUUUGAAAGAUCUCGAAGCCAUGAAAUACCAGGUUUUCCUCUUUAACAUUUUAUAGGAAGAUUUGCUUGCAUUGAUCAUUUAUGCAUGUCUGAUAAUGAAUUUCUCUUUUUGCAGAUGGCAGAGUACAGGAUUUCAGUUUAUGGGAGAAAACAAAGUGAGUGGGAUCAACUGGCUAGUUGGUUUGUUAACAAUGACAUUUACAGCGAGAAUGUAGUAUGGUUAAUACAGGUAUAUUAAUGCUCUUUUAUUUUUGUUCUGGUAGCUGUUCUAUUCUUGGUAGUCAAUGUCUAUCUUCAUUGCUGAGAUCUUCUAUUUGUGACAUUGUUGUUGUACUUGGGAGUUGGUUGGAUUGGUGUAAUGUAUUGCAAACAAUUUUUUUUCCUAGCAUAUAGAACCGGACCUUAUUUAAGUAUAAUGUUUGAGUUUAUAUUGUAUGAACACAUUCCAGGAGAGGUAACAGUAAGGUUGUUUUAUAUUGUGCUUAUAUCAUGUUAGACAUCAGCCAUAAAUCUGUAGUUCUUUCUUUGUUACUCAUGCAUGG
rnacentral:lncRNA from 1 species